UUUAAGUGCAAUUGUGGGUUUCUAUCUCCAACAAUUAGCCGUCCGUCUUAUUUAAAUUUUUUUUAUGAUUUGUAUUUUUAUAUUGUUAUUAGAUGAUAAAACAUGAAUAGUACUUUAUGCCUGACUUAUUUUUUAAAAAAAAAUUCAUAAUUGUUUCAAAUAAGACGGACGGUCAAACGUUGGACACGGAAACCCACAACUACACUUACA
rfam:Oryza rufipogon genomic scaffold, chr02